rnacentral:rRNA from 1 species
UGUGGAUCGGAGUGAAAGGCUAAUCAAGCUCGGAGAUAGCUGGUUCUCCUCGAAAGCUAUUUAGGUAGCGCCUCGUGUAUCACUGCUGGGGGUAGAGCACUGUUUCGGCUAGGGGGUCAUCCCGACUUACCAAACCGAUGCAAACUCCGAAUACCAGCAAGUGUCAGCACGGGAGACACACGGCGGGUGCUAACGUCCGUCGUGAAAAGGGAAACAACCCAGACCGUCAGCUAAGGUCCCAAAGUCAUGGUUAAGUGGGAAACGAUGUGGGAAGGCUUAGACAGCUAGGAGGUUGGCUUAGAAGCAGCCAUCCUUUAAAGAAAGCGUAAUAGCUCACUAGUCGAGUCGGCCUGCGCGGAAGAUGUAACGGGGCUCAAACCAUGCACCGAAGCUACGGGUUCAACGCAAGUUGAGCGGUAGAGGAGCGUUCUGUAAGCCUGUGAAGGUNAGUUGAGAAGCUNGCUGGAGGUAUCAGAAGUGCGAAUGCUGACAUGAGUAACGACAAUGCGAGUGAAAAACUCGCACGCCGAAAGACCAAGGGUUCCUGCGCAACGUUAAUCGACGCAGGGUGAGUCGGUCCCUAAGGCGAGGCUGAAGAGCGUAGUCGAUGGGAAACGGGUUAAUAUUCCCGUACUUCUAGUUACUGCGAUGGGGGGACGGAGAAGGCUAGGCCAGCAAGGCGUUGGUUGUCCUUGUUUAAGGUGGUAGGCAGAGAUCUUAGGUAAAUCCGGGNUCUUAAUGCCGAGAGCUGAUGACGAGCUUUCUUUUAGAAAGCGAAGUGGUUGAUGCCAUGCUUCCAGGAAAAGCCUCUAAGCUUCAGGUAACUAGGAACCGUACCCCAAACCGACACAGGUGGUUGGGUAGAGAAUACCAAGGCGCUUGAGAGAACUCGGGUGAAGGAACUAGGCAAAAUGGCACCGUAACUUCGGGAGAAGGUGCGCCGGUGAGGGUGAAGUAUUUACUACGUAAGCCCAUGCCGGUCGAAGAUACCAGGCCGCUGCGACUGUUUAUUAAAAACACAGCACUCUGCAAACACGAAAGUGGACGUAUAGGGUGUGACGCCUGCCCGGUGCCGGAAGGUUAAUUGAUGGGGUUAGCGCAAGCGAAGCUCUUGAUCGAAGCCCCGGUAAACGGCGGCCGUAACUAUAACGGUCCUAAGGUAGCGAAAUUCCUUGUCGGGUAAGUUCCGACCUGCACGAAUGGCGUAACGAUGGCGGCGCUGUCUCCACCCGAGACUCAGUGAAAUUGAAAUCGCUGUGAAGAUGCAGUGUAUCCGCGGCUAGACGGAAAGACCCCGUGAACCUUUACUAUAGCUUUGCACUGGACUUUGAAUUUGCUUGUGUAGGAUAGGUGGGAGGCUUUGAAGCGUGGACGCCAGUUCGCGUGGAGCCAUCCUUGAAAUACCACCCUGGCAACUUUGAGGUUCUAACUCUGGUCCGUUAUCCGGAUCGAGGACAGUGUAUGGUGGGUAGUUUGACUGGGGCGGUCUCCUCCUAAAGAGUAACGGAGGAGUACGAAGGUGCGCUCAGACCGGUCGGAAAUCGGUCGUAGAGUAUAAAGGCAAAAGCGCGCUUGACUGCGAGACAGACACGUCGAGCAGGUACGAAAGUAGGUCUUAGUGAUCCGGUGGUUCUGUAUGGAAGGGCCAUCGCUCAACGGAUAAAAGGUACU